UGAAGUUUACUGGAUUUUUUCUUUUCUAUGUUAAAUAAGACGUUUAUGCAAUUUGAAGUUAACCCGCAUCUUUGACAUCGUCAAACCCUAUUCUUUUGUUGUACUGUUUGGCUGUACAAAUUUUCAUAAAUCAGUUUUUUUUUUUUCUGCUGCUACUUUUAUGGGCAUUGUUUGUCAAGUGAAUGAACACCGCAAAUAUCUGAUUUCUUCUUGUUAUUUACACUAGGUCCGUCUCCGCGCUACGCGCGGAUUAGUUAUUUAUAUUUAUCCUUAAAAUAAUUAUUUUUCACAUAAAUAAUAAUUUUCUUUGACAAAAAAUGGUACGUGAUAGUUUCUCAUCGCAUUUUACUUUGCUCUGUUGAUAGACUUCAUCUGAAUAAGCAGAAAUGUUUGACAUUCUUUGAUAAGUUUAGUUUAUUCAUUCUUUUAGAGCUAAUAAAUUAGAUUUUUUUUUUGACAGCGAGCUAAUAAAUUAGAUUAUAUUUAUUAUUUUAGAAAUUAAUAUUCAGAAAAUGUAUUCUUAGUUUUGUCUCUCAAAAAUUUUAAACAUAAAAUUAGUAUUAUAGUUUUAAAUAUUUAGUUUUCGAAUAUCAAAACUCACAUAAAAAUUCAAAGUAAUAAUUAUAUUAUUAUGUUGAUAAUGAUGGCUGUUAAAAAUGUCGUUAUUGACAUAUCUACCUUCAUUUUAAACGAUGAUGUCAAAAAUUAUCGUUGAAUAUAUAUCAAAAACCAUAAUUGUUAAUGGUUAUAUGAGAAACUAUCAUAUAUAACAGUGAUAUGUUUGAAAUUUUUAUUGUUAACGAUGAUAUGUCAGUUUUAUAAAGAAAUCUUGUAAUUUUAAAGAAUUGUUUUUAAUUUAAAAAGAUAUUUUGAUAUUUUGAAUUUUCUAUUUUUUGUGAAUUUUCUAAAUUUUCCAUUUUCCAUUUUAUGUAUUUAAUUUAAUUUUAUUUAUUUUCUGAAUUUAAUUUAAUUUUUGGAAUUUCUAAGUAAUUACUUAAUUUUUUUAUUAUCUGAUUUUUUUCUGAUUUUUUUAGUUUUCUAAUUAUUAUUUAAUUUUCUAAAUUUUUUUAUUUUAUAAUUAAAUAAUUGUUUUUUUUGGAAAACCACUAACAUAUCAUUAUUUUUAUCUGUACAACAUGUCAAUUUUUUAUUUUAUUAACAAAUAAGUUCGAUUGAAAGUUUUAAUGAUAUAAAUGUCAAUCUGAAAGUCAAAAGUGCUAGCAAAAAAAAUUGAGGGUUUAAAUUGUAAAUAGGUAAUGCUUUUAGAGUUUUUUUAUGUUAUUUCUUUAGUUAAAUGUUCAACUGGCUUUUAAUAAGUAAACUAUAAACUUUUAAUAAACUAAUUUAUAAUUAAACUGUUUGUUGUCAAUAAAUUAGUUUCAGGCUUUAGGUUGUCGUUUCCUUCUGUUUCUCCAAGUUUGGCUGGGCUGUUUACUAACCCCACAUGUCUAUCUCUUCCCUCUGCAAUUGUCAAACUCAUCUUUUGCAUGGGUUUUGCUUCUUAUAUGGUAAGAUUCAAUUUUAAUCGAAAGCAGAUUAAACGUUGUCCCCUAGAGGGGUUUGUCUGAAUUUCUUAAUUGUUGUUCUCCAUAAGCAGAAGCUUUGCAGAUAAGAAAGCCAUCAAAUUGGAUCUCACAUUGGCAAGAGCUAACCUCCGAAAGGGGUAUGAUAUUGUCAUCGUCUCUCUGUAUUUAAUAUGAUGACACUUUGAUGCUAUAUUUAAAUUUGGGUUGAAGCAUGAUGUAUCUUCGUACACUAUUCUGUAUUUGCAGAGCACUGCUUGUAUGAAGUUAGAAGAAUGUACUACUGCUAAAUAAGCCCAAGAAAAAGGUGCUUCUGUCGCACCAAAUGAUACCAAUUAAGUUUAAGAAGAUGAUGGAUGAAUGUAGUUUUCCCACUGCAGGCAUUACAUCAAACCCCCAUGGCCCAUAGGUAUAGCUUAAGAAAAAAAAUUCUUAUGAAAGAUGGUCAAUAUUCUUUUCUGUUCAAAGGAAGAGAAAGAUUUGGUUCAACAUAUGCCACCAACAGAUUUCUUGAUCUUUCUCUUCACCUCAGUAUUUCCACCAAAC
rnacentral:lncRNA from 1 species